CAGCAGUAGGGAAUCUUCUACAAUGGGCGCAAGCCUGAUGGAGCAACACCGCGUGAGUGAAGAAGGGUUUCGGCUCGUAAAGCUCUGUUGUUAAAGAAGAACACGUAUGAGAGUAACUGUUCAUACGUUGACGGUAUUUAACCAGAAAGUCACGGCUAACUACGUGCCAGCAGCCGCGGUAAUACGUAGGUGGCAAGCGUUAUCCGGAUUUAUUGGGCGUAAAGGGAGUGCAGGCGGUUUUCUAAGUCUGAUGUGAAAGCCUUCGGCUUAACCGGAGAAGUGCAUCGGAAACUGGAUAACUUGAGUGCAGAAGAGGGUAGUGGAACUCCAUGUGUAGCGGUGGAAUGCGUAGAUAUAUGGAAGAACACCAGUGGCGAAGGCGGCUACCUGGUCUGCAACUGACGCUGAGACUCGAAAGCAUGGGUAGCGAACAGGAUUAGAUACCCUGGUAG
rnacentral:rRNA from 1 species